rnacentral:rRNA from 1 species
GUGAGGAAUAUUGGUCAAUGGGCGCGAGCCUGAACCAGCCAAGUAGCGUGCAGGAUGACGGCCCUAUGGGUUGUAAACUGCUUUUAUGCGGGGAUAAAGUGAGGGACGUGUCCCUUUUUGUAGGUACCGCAUGAAUAAGGACCGGCUAAUUCCGUGCCAGCAGCCGCGGUAAUACGGAAGGUCCGGGCGUUAUCCGGAUUUAUUGGGUUUAAAGGGAGCGCAGGCUGAUUGUUAAGCGUGACGUGAAAUGUAGCCGCUCAACGGCUGAACUGCGUCGCGAACUGGCAGUCUUGAGUGAGUACGACGUCAGCGGAAUUCGUGGUGUAGCGGUGAAAUGCUUAGAUAUCACGAAGAACCCCGAUUGCGAAGGCAGCUGACGAGUCCUUUACUGACGCUAAAGCUCGAAGGUGCGGGUAUCGAACAGG